rnacentral:rRNA from 1 species
AUUGAACGCUGGCGGCAGGCUUAACACAUGCAAGUCGAGCGGGGUGAUGGUGCUUGCACUAUCACUUAGCGGCGGACGGGUGAGUAAUGCUUAGGAAUCUGCCUAUUAGUGGGGGACAACACCUCGAAAGGGAUGCUAAUACCGCAUACGUCCUACGGGAGAAAGCAGGGGAUCACUUGUGACCUUGCGCUAAUAGAUGAGCCUAAGUCGGAUUAGCUAGUUGGUGGGGUAAAGGCCUACCAAGGCGACGAUCUGUAGCGGGUCUGAGAGGAUGAUCCGCCACACUGGGACUGGGACACGGCCCAGACUCCUACGGGAGGCAGCGGUGGGGAAUAUUGGACAAUGGGGGGAACCCUGAUCCAGCCAUGCCGCGUGUGUGAAGAAGGCCUUAUGGUUGUAAAGCACUUUAAGCGAGGAGGAGGCUCUUUUGGUUAAUACCCAAGAUGAGUGGACGUUACUCGCAGAAUAAGCACCGGCUAACUCUGUGCCAGCCGCCGCCGUAA